rnacentral:rRNA from 1 species
AUUGAACGCUUGCGGCAUGCUUUACACAUGCAAGUCGAACGGUAACAGCACUUCGGUGGCUGACGAGUGGCGAACGGGUGAGUAAUACAUCGGAACGUGCCUAGUAGUGGGGGAUAACUACUCGAAAGAGUAGCUAAUACCGCAUGAGAUCUAAGGAUGAAAGCGGGGGACCUUCGGGCCUUGCGCUACUAGAGCGGCUGAUGGCAGAUUAGGUAGUUGGUGGGAUAAAAGCUUACCAAGCCGACGAUCUGUAGCUGGUCUGAGAGGACGACCAGCCACACUGGGACUGAGACACGGCCCAGACUCCUACGGGAGGCAGCAGUGGGGAAUUUUGGACAAUGGGCGCAAGCCUGAUCCAGCAAUGCCGCGUGCAGGAUGAAGGCCUUCGGGUUGUAAACUGCUUUUGUACGGAACGAAAAGCCCUCUUCUAAUACAGGAGGGUCAUGACGGUACCGUAAGAAUAAGCACCGGCUAACUACGUG